rnacentral:rRNA from 1 species
UACGAAGGGGGCUAGCGUUGUUCGGAAUUACUGGGCGUAAAGCGCACGUAGGCGGAUUUGCCAGUCAGGGGUGAAAUCCCGGGGCUCAACCUCGGAACUGCCUCUGAUACAGCAAGUCUUGAGUCCGGAAGAGGUGGGUGGAAUUCCUAGUGUAGAGGUGAAAUUCGUAGAUAUUAGGAAGAACAUCAGUGGCGAAAGCGACUUCCUGGACCAAUACUGACGCUCAUGUGCGAAAGCGUGGGGAGCAAACAGG